UUUCUUUUAGCUGCCAUUAGGGCUCCAAUCCCUGAGUUGAGCAAUUUUCUUUUAGCCGACAUUAGGGCUCCAAUCCCUGAGUUGAGCGAUUUUCCUUUAGCCGACAUUUGGGCUCCAAUCCCUGAGUUGAGCGAUUUUCCUUUAGCCGACAUUAGGGCUCCAAUCCCUGAGUUGAGCAAUUUUCUUUAGCCGACAUUAGGGCUCCAAUCCCUGAGUUGAGCAAUUUUCUUUAGCCGACAUUAGAGCUCCAAUCCCUGAGUUGAGCAAUUUUCCUUUAGCCGACAUUAGGGCUCCAAUCCCUGAGUUGUGAAAUUUUCCUUUAGCCGACAUUAGGGCUCCAAUCCAUAAGUUGAGUGAUUUUUCUUUAGCCGACAUUAGGGCUCCAAUCCCUGAGUUGAGCAAUUUUCUUUUAGCCGACAUUAGGGCUCCAAUCCCUGAGUUGAGCAAUUUUCUUUUAGCCGAUAUUAGGGCUCCAAUCCAUAAGUUGAGUGAUUUUUCUUUAGCCGACAUUAGGGCUUCAAUCCCUGAGUUGAGCAAUUUUCUUUUAGCCGACA
rnacentral:lncRNA from 1 species